UAUUUGGGUUUAUUGCUCAACGAUAUUUAAAUAAAAGGUCUUAUAUUUUUAUUUAAACGCAUUAUUUUGUUCGUGUGCAUUGUCAUUUUAUUUGUGCUCUUAAUGUCAUGCACUGCACUUGUUAUUUAUUCUUUCGCUUGAACAGAUUCAUCAGUAUAUGACUUGGAUGUGGGAUGCUAGAAAUGCUCGUAAUUCACUUUGAUUUAUCUCAGAAACUCAUAAUUUUUACAUUGAAGAUAAUGAAAAACGACCAUGGAA
rnacentral:lncRNA from 1 species